UCCAGAAUGUUCAUGGGCAAAACACGAUAUCAGAAUGUAUAGUAGCUCAAAUAUACAGGUCUCUUACCAAGAGUAGAAAUAUAAGUAAGUAAUUUAUGUAGGAAGUUUCUGUCUUGCUAUCUGUAGCAUUUGAGAUACAACCAGGUUGUGAGUUUAUAAAAAUAUUUCAUGUGUGCACGCUAAAUAAUUGAUAUGCCAGAUCACAGAUCAAAGAAACUAUUUAGUAUUGCAACAAUGGCACCAUUUGUGUAAGUUUUUUUUUUUUGGUAAUGAUUUGGGGAAAGAAGGAUUGAAAAUAAAAGAGUUCUAGUUUAUUUGGGAUUCUGGUACAUCCCCUAAAGAGUAAGAUCUCUAAUUAAUUUCAGUGUGCUACAAUUGUGUUUAAAAAACUAAAAACCAAAUAGACAUAUUUUUCAUUCUCUAUAGAGUUGUUGCAACAACAUAGUAUUUUAUUAUCAACCAUCCCCCCCCCCCCAAGCCUGCUUUCUGUGGGCUAUACAGAAAACUGUGGGUGGUAGUUAUAUGAAAAGAAACGUGCCAGUAAAUAAAGAGUUAAGAAAAGACAGAAAGAAAGGCAGGCUCAGUGGUUUGUUGAGAUCUGUCAGAGCCUGAGUGGCUGGCUACGUAUCUGUCUCAGGAACAAUAGGUACCUGUAUUCUGCCCGGACUGUUGGGCAGGCAUUCACAAUCUGGAAAAGGUCUGCCUCUGUGAGAGGUUUCUCCCUGAGAAUCCCUAAUGACAGUCCCACUUUUCGUGGGGGUUGGGUGGGUGGAAAUCCCAGCUCCUACUUCCCGUGAGGGGGCAGAGCUUUGAUCAUUGCUAUUCAGCCCUGACUUGGGUCUGAGUCUGAGGUUCUCAGUCUAGAAGUCAGCAGGCUGCCUUUUCAGUUACUUCAACAGAGGCAGGCACGCACACAGCACAUGCUCUCUCUCUCUCUCUCAUAUGCGUGUGCACACUCAUACACACUCAUCUCUCUUUGCUGGGCUGUGCAGGCAGCUUGGUGUCAGAGCCACAGCUGAGGCACAGUCCAAUGAGCAUAGCUGCAACCAGCCUUCAUGGUGGGCAAGAGAAACUGAUGACAACAAUGGAGAAGACUCGCUCCGGUGACAAGUUUAGAAACUACCCGUCUAUUGAACGACUCAUUGAUUCUUCUGAGGUGAAUCCGCUUAGAGCCAAAUGGCUAUAGGAAAUCAGUUCAUAUAUUCUGGCUGAAGGCAAUUCGGAAUGAGACUGCUUCCUUCAGGAUUUAACACAGGUGUGUUGAAAAAUGUUGUGAACAUAAAUCAUCAUUGAUUUUUCAUUAAUGUUUGACAAGUAGAGUUAGAGGCAGAAAUACAAUGACUGUUUCCCCUUGAUACAAAAGAUUACACAAAAUAAAUGUCACUGUGAAAAUCUCUUUACCAAUCUAUAGCCCAGUCUUAUACAAGUUUAUUACAAAGUAAGUCCCAUCUGGUACUGUGGGGCUUACAUAUAUAUAAAGAAGCAUGUAGAGGAUUUUAUCCCUAGACUUUAAUAAGUUCACAGCCAAAACAAUAGUUUUGAAGACUGGCUUCAAGAAAAAGCAGUCAAAAGUAGAUGUCACAAAUUAAUUCAGUUCUAACUGUGAAAUCUUGUGGAUUUUGUUUGUUAUUAAUUUGAUUGGUCUCACUCCCAGGUAAACAAGCAUGAAGCUAAAAUUUAUUUAAUUAACUAUACAAACAUUCCGUUAAUUUUUUGAAGGUACACAUAUUUUUCUAUCUCUAUGAGGCUGGUCAACUCCCUGAAAUCCUAACAGCUGGUAAACUAGCUGGGCUUUCUGGGAGUUGUAGGCCAAAACACCUGGGGACCCACAGGGUG
ensembl:lncRNA